CGGCAGGCCUAACACAUGCAAGUCGAGGGGCAGCACAAAGAUAGUUUACUAUUUUGGUGGCGACCGGCGCACGGGUGAGUAACGCGUAUGCAACCUACCUUAUACAGGAGUAUAGCCCGAAGAAAUUCGGAUUAAUCCUCCAUAGUAUUUUCUAAUGGCAUCAUUUGGAAAAUUAAAGCUUCGGCGGUAUAAGAUGGGCAUGCGUCCUAUUAGCUAGAUGGUAAGGUAAAGGCUUACCAUGGCUACGAUAGGUAGGGGGCCUGAGAGGGUGACCCCCCACACUGGUACUGAGACACGGACCAGACUCCUACGGGAGGCAGCAGUGAGGAAUAUUGGGCAAUGGAGGCAACUCUGACCCAGCCAUGCCGCGUGCAGGAAGAAUGCCCUAUGGGUUGUAAACUGCUUUUAUUUAGGAAUAAACCCCUCUACGUGUAGAGGGCUGAAGGUACUAAACGAAUAAGCACCGGC
rnacentral:rRNA from 1 species